rnacentral:sRNA from 1 species
AAAUGAAAUAUUGGCCUUCGGCCAAUGUGAAAUACGGCUUCGCCGUGUGAAAUAUAUGCCUGCGGCAUAUAUGAAAUAUUCG